GACGGAGGGUCCUAGCGUUGUUCGGAUUUACUGGGCGUAAAGGGCGCGUAGGCGGUGCGUGUAGUCGGGUGUGAAAGCCCGGGGCUCAACCCCGGAACUGCAUCCGAUACUCGCGCGCUGGAGACCGGGAGAGGAGAGUGGAAUACCCAGUGUAGAGGUGAAAUUCGUAGAUAUUGGGUGGAACACCGGUGGCGAAAGCGGCUCUCUGGCCCGGUUCUGACGCUGAGGCGCGAAAGCGUGGGGAGCAAACAGG
rnacentral:rRNA from 1 species